AUUGAACGCUGGCGGAAUGCUUUACACAUGUAAGUCGAACGGCAGCACGGACUUCGGUCUGGUGGCGAGUGGCGAACGGGUGAGUAAUGUAUCGGAACGUGCCCAGUCGUGGGGGAUCACGUAGAGAAAAUUACGCUAAUACCGCAUACGAUCUAUGGAUGAAAGCGGGGGAUCGCAAGACCUCGCGCGAUUGGAGCGGCCGAUAUCAGAUUAGGUAGUUGGUGGGGUAAAGGCCCACCAAGCCAACGAUCUGUAGCUGGUCUGAGAGGACGACCAGCCACACUGGAACUGAGACACGGUCCAGACUCCUACGGGAGGCAGCAGUGGGGAAUUUUGGACAAUGGGCGAAAGCCUGAUCCAGCCAUUCCGCGUGCAGGAUGAAGGCCCUCGGGUUGUAAACUGCUUUUGUACAGAACGAAAAGGUUUCUACUAAUACUAGGAGCUCAUGACGGUACUGUAAGAAUAAGCACCGGCUAACUACGUGCCAGCCGCCGCCGUAA
rnacentral:rRNA from 1 species